UCCCAGGGACAAGGAAAGCCACCCUCCACCAACAGAAAUGCUUCCGGCAAUUGCAUGACACUGAAGCUGCCAAGCAUUGGCCAGAUCUAGAGCAAAGAAAAUAUUCCUCCUACCACUACCAGAUGGUGUCAGAAGUGGGAUCCAAAGUAGAGUUUCUAACAUCCCCUAGGAGCACUGAGUGACCAAGUGAGGAACUCUCUGGACCCAUUGUGUCCAAUGAUCUCUUGGAGCAGCUGGGGAUUGUGGUAAAGACAACUUUUUAUGGUUUACUGACUGAGGACAAUCAACCCCUUCACAAUCUAGAACCUGAAGAUUGGAUCUUCUGGGAACAUCAGAGAAAGCCUGCCCUUGCCAUCUGCACUGCAGCAAAACUUCAGGACCUUGAACCUCAUGUUCAUAAUCUCACAACUAAGAAGGAUCCCUCCACACUCUUGGAACUGUAUACCCACUGGAACCCUUUAGGUAAAGUUAACCAGGGAAGUUCCUCCCCAGAAGAAGAUGGCAUCCUUGAUGUGAGCAGCUUUUCCCAAGAUCACAGAUCACAACUUCUCUACUAUCAUGAGACUCUUAUCUUUAGAUAUUUUUUCCUUAGUUAUGACUCUGUGGACAAUAGAAGUGAAAGAGGGGUCUGUUGUGUGCACUCACGGGGUACACUUUUAUUUGUAAAGGAUUUUGCAGCCAGCCUUAUACAUGGAUAACCUCAUACCUUGAUAGAUGAAAAAUUAAGGCCCAAUGUAGAUGAAAAGCUAAUGGUACCUGUGUUGCCUCAUAAUCAGUCAGAAAUAGAACAUUGGUUCACUCCUCUUAAUCCAUACCAUGGGUUAAAGAGAACAUUGCCUGAAGGCCUUCAAUCUUCUAGAAGGGCAUCAUUUGUUAGGCCCCUUUUCCAUGGUUUGGAAUAAAAGAGGCAAUGAUUAGAAAUGUAUCCCUCAUGGUAGGCUCUAUAGUAGAUUCUACUGUAAAGGCUAUGGUUACACAACAGACUUUAAAUUAUCUUGUGAAAGUUACGCUGAAUAACAGAAUUGCUCCAGAUUAUUUAGUGGCUAAAUGGAAAAGUAUUUGUGCAGCUGCUGGCACUUGAGUGGUCUAUGAAAACAUACAUCAAAUGUAGAUUAUAGAGAUUCAGUUGUAGUGGAUUAAAGAAGAGACUACUUAGUUAAGUGAGUCAGUUCUUUAUCUAGCUCAUUCUUUGAUGUAUUUAAUUUUAGGUGGUUUGGUUUAUGUGGACCCUGGGUAAGGAGCACACUCCAAACAUUUGGUAUGAUCCUCCUGAUAGUCAUAAUAGUAGUCUCCCUGGUGUGCUGUAUUCCCUCAAUACAGCACAAAUUUUAAAUGUUUGCAUGAAGCCAUCUCAAGAAUGUCAAAUGGUCUCUCUUUAACUGGAAUGACAAGAGCUGAAAGGAGUAAGUGAGCAUGAGGGCACCAUAACCUAUGAAUAACAUGCUGAGACCAGAAACCCAAAAUUGUGGGUGCCGCUGAGGCUCUAUGUUUUGAUCACGCUCUUACCUAAAUAAGAACCUGAUCAAAAAGGGGGAAUUUUUUAAAGCAAAAUUACGGGAGGCCAUUGUUUUGAGAGCUUGUUUGGAGG